rnacentral:rRNA from 1 species
GUGCCUAACACAUGCAAGUCGAGCGAUGCGAUCCUUCGGGAUCAAUUAGCGGCGGACGGGUGAGUAACACGUGGGUAACCUGCCUCAAAGAGGGGAAUAGCCUCCCGAAAGGGAGAUUAAUACCGCAUAAUAUGUUUUGAUCGCAUGACCAAAACAUCAAAGGAAUUAUCUUCGGAUUGUUCCACUUUGAGAUGGACCCGCGGCGCAUUAGCUAGUUGGUGAGGUAAAGGCCCACCAAGGCAACGAUGCGUAGCCGACCUGAGAGGGUGAUCGGCCACAUUGGAACUGAGACACGGUCCAGACUCCUACGGGAGGCAGCAGUGGGGAAUAUUGCGCAAUGGGGGAAACCCUGACGCAGCAACGCCGCGUGAAUGAUGAAGGCCUUCGGGUUGUAAAGUUCUGUCUUCUGGGACGAUAAUGACGGUACCAGAGGAGGAAGCCACGGCUAACUACGUGCCAGCAGCCGCGGUAAUACGUAGGUGGCAAGCGUUGUCCGGAUUUACUGGGCGUAAAGGAUGCGUAGGCGGACAUUUAAGUCAGAUGUGAAAUACCCGAGCUUAACUUGGGUGCUGCAUUUGAAACUGGGUGUCUAGAGUGCAGGAGAGGUAAGUGGAAUUCCUAGUGUAGCGGUGAAAUGCGUAGAGAUUAGGAAGAACACCAGUGGCGA